rnacentral:tRNA from 1 species
GCGGUUGUAGCUCAGUCAGGUCAGAGCGCGACGUUGCCAACGUCGAGGUCCCGGGUUCGAAUCCCGGCAGCCGCU